rnacentral:sRNA from 2 species
ACAUUUUUUUCGCUUAAUCUAUUUUUAGAACGGGGGACCCAAUUUUUUUACGGUAUUUUCCGUUAUAGGUGAGUUCUGAAAAGAAGGGGCUUUUCGUUUCCAAAGUCCUAACCUGAAAGCUAACCUCGUAAGCGUUUAGAGGAAACAG